UGUAGGAGUGAGCCUGCUCGCGAUCGCGGUGUAUCUGUCGGAGUUGCUCUGUCUGACAGACCGCUAUCGCGAGCAGGCUCACUCCUACA
rnacentral:misc_RNA from 2 species